UACAGAGGUCUCAAGCGUUGUCCGGAUUCAUUGGGCGUAAAGAGCGUGUAGGCGGCCAGGUAGGUCGGUUGUGAAAACUGGAGGCUCAACCUUCAGAGGUCGACCGAAACCAUCUGGCUAGAGUACGGGAGAGGAGAGUGGAAUUCCUGGUGUAGCGGUGAAAUGCGCAGAUAUCAGGAAGAACACCCGUGGCGAAAGCGGCUCUCUGGAACGGUACUGACGCUGAGACGCGAAAGCGUGGGGAGCGAACAGG
rnacentral:rRNA from 1 species